GUGAGAUGUUGGGUUAAGUCCCGCAACGAGCGCAAACCCCCUAUCCUUUUAAAUUGCCAUCAUUCAGUUGGGCACUUUAGAGAGACUGCCGGUGUUAAGCCGGAGGAAGGUGGGGAUGACGUCAAGUCCUCAUGGCCUUUAUGUCUAGGGCUACACACGUGCUACAAUGGGUGGUACAAAGAGCAGCUAACUCGCGAGAGUAUGCAAAUCUCAAAAAGCCAUCCUCAUUCGGAUUGGAGUCUGCAACUCGACUCCAUGAAGUUGGAAUCGCUAGUAAUCGCGGAUCAGCAUGCCGCGGUGAAUACGUUCCCGGGCCUU
rnacentral:rRNA from 1 species